rnacentral:rRNA from 1 species
CCAGAGCCUGAAUCAGUAUGUGUGUUAGUGGAAGCGUCUGGAAAGGCGCGCGAUACAGGGUGACAGCCCCGUACACAAAAAUGCACAUGCUGUGAGCUCGAUGAGUAGGGCGGGACACGUGGUAUCCUGUCUGAAUAUGGGGGGACCAUCCUCCAAGGCUAAAUACUCCUGACUGACCGAUAGUGAACCAGUACCGUGAGGGAAAGGCGAAAAGAACCCCGGCGAGGGGAGUGAAAAAGAACCUGAAACCGUGU